GGAAGAGGGUUGAAGAACGGAAAAGCUUGGAGCUUAAAGAUUCGCCGGAUUAACUCAGGUAACGAGCAGUGAUUGAGUAGAAGCUAGUGCUUGGAGUCUAGUGUAGUCUCCUUAGUGGGUCAUGCUCUGAUAGAUGUAACAUCGGGACGGGAUGUCUUAAAUGUUUUAUUGUUGGUUGUGAACCAUUUUACAUGUAAUGUGUUACAUGUUUUGAAUGAUCGAUUUGAUCUCUA